ACUUAAAUAACUUAAUUAAGAGUGUAAUAUUGAAGAUAUUAAAGUGAUUGAUUUAAUCUUUAAGUA
rnacentral:tRNA from 1 species